UAAAUGUAAGAAAAAUAAUAUGGAGAGGAAAGGGAGGGGAGGAGAGGAGAGGAGGGAGAAGAGAAGAGAAGAGAGAGCGCGUUGAGACAGAUCAGAGACGGUCCUUUCCAAAGCAAAGCUGUGCGCACUGCGCACCGCCUUCCUUCCUUAUCUCUUCAUCCAUUCAUCCAUCCGCCAUUAACCCACCUUUCAAUUCCCUUCCUUUUUCAUUUUCCUUCAACAAAUUCGCUCCCCCAGAUGCUUAUUCCCCCAUCAGAUCCUCCUCGAUCUCAUUAAAAUGCGUUUCUCUCUUUGUUUCUGUCAGUUUCCCUCUCCCUUCCCCUUCUGAUUCCACUUUUCUUCUUCCAUUUCUCUUUUUCUAUGAUUAUGAGGAACCCCGGCUUCUGGGUCAUUGGAAUUCUUCUCUUUUCCCUCCUCUUGGGUCUCGCUCACUCGGUUAGGGCUCCCGAUUCACCUCCUUUUUGUCCUGCUGAAUCUUUUCUCGACACGAUCUUUCGUUUUAGGGAUUCCUACUCCAACUGCCCUUUUCACGGCGAUGUUCGCCACUAUGAAUUUAUUGGUGUUUCUGAGGGAGAUGAGGCUUCAUUACAAAUGGCACUGAAUAUGGUACAUAGUAACCGUUACGAAUACGUUUCAGUGCUCUUCUAUGCAUCUUGGUGCCCGUUCUCCAAGUCUUUCAGGCCGAGUUUUUCUAUACUGUCUUCAUUGUAUGCUUCUAUCCCUCAUUUUGCAAUCCAGGAAUCAGCUGUCCGGCCAAGCAUACUCUCAAAGUAUGGGGUUCAUGGUUUUCCUACACUUUUCCUUUUAAAUUCUACAAUGCGUGCUCGCUACUAUGGUUCUCGAACUCUCUCUUCACUUGUUGCAUUCUAUAACGAUGUUACUGGCAUUCAGACUGCAUCACUGGAUCAAAUAUCACCCGAUAGAAUCGGACAAGUAUGGAAUCGGGAGAAGCAUGAUGAUAACAGCGAGCAAGAAAAUUGUCCAUUUUCAUGGGCCAGGUCUCCAGAAAAUUUACUUCGGGAAGAGACGUAUUUGGCUCUGGCUACUGCCUUUGUGCUAAUGAGAUUGGUAUAUAUUUUCUUCCCAACUCUUUUAGUAUAUGCUCGAUAUGUUUGGCGAAGGCACCUUAGGAACAUGAGAUUGGGAACCUUGUGGGAACGACCUUUGACGUGCAUGAAAGGAGCAAUUCAGCUAUUCAGCCAUUUCAAGGAUCCUUGUAAGAGAAGCAAUUUACAAGGAGGGGCGAUGAAUGCGAAGGCAUGGGCCAAGUCUUUUGCCACAGUUUCGAUCGGUGAUGCAAGCUCUAGUAGUCGGGUGUGCCAGUGAGAAUGUUGUUGAUGUGCAUCAAAUUGUUUAUGGUACGGUACUGCGGUGAGCUGCAGAAAAUGCCAUUCUGGAUUGUUGAGUAGUUUUUGGGUUCAACAUCGUGUGAACAAAGGUAUGGAUACUUUCCGCUAGUUGUAUCAGGCCAUAACCAAUCGUGUGCAAUUUCGCAGCAACUUAUAGCACAAGUUAACAGCUUUUGUGAUUGCAAUAAAACGGAAGAAAUUGUGGUAGUCAAGUCAAGAGAAUGGAGAAAUCGGCCCAACCAUGUACAAUCACAUCCAAAUAUGUAGAACCAAACCGUUCAGCUGAAACCUACCGUGAUGGGCUCUUUCCCCCUACUACCGUAACUCACCUACUAUAUUAAAGGCCAGUAACUAACAGUAUUUAAUGCAAUGAAUACAACGUAUUCAAUUGGAAUCAUUCGUGUAUUGGGUACAUAUGUUAACUAGAUAAAUUCUGGGAACGUCCAGUAAUCGCAGGGCUUGCGAAGUUUGAGGUCA